GACGAACGCUGGCGGCGUGCUUAACACAUGCAAGUCGAGCGGUAAGGCCCUUUUGGGGGUACACGAGCGGCGAACGGGUGAGUAACACGUGGGUGACCUGCCCUCAGCUCUGGGAUAAGCCUGGGAAACUGGGUCUAAUACUGGAUAUGACCUUUCCUCGCAUGGGGUUGGGUGGAAAGUUUUUUCGGCUGGGGAUGGGCCCGCGGCCUGUCAGCUUGUUGGGUGGGGUGAUGGCCUACCAAGGCGACGACGGGUAGCCGGCCUGAGAGGGCGACCGGCCACACUGGGACUGAGACACGGCCCAGACUCCUACGGGAGGCAGCAGUGGGGAAUAUUGCGCAAUGGGCGGAAGCCUGACGCAGCGACGCCGCGU
rnacentral:rRNA from 1 species